AGUUGUUCUUGGAAUGGACUAAGGUGCAAGCCCUUGCGCUUGGCCUGGCUGAACUUCAUGAGGUUCACACGGGCCUACCUCUCAAGCCUGACAGUGGGGCUGGGAGACUGCGGGGCUGCUGGAGGAGGCUGGGCAGGGGCCAGGAGUGCCCUCCCUCUAUCUUUCUCUUCAGGGUUGCUCUCAACCCUUUUGCUGCCCACCUAUAGUUGUUCUUGGAAUGGACUAAGGUGCAAGCCCUUGCGCUUGGCCUGGCUGAACUUCAUGAGGUUCACACGGGCCUACCUCUCAAGCCUGUCCGGGUUCCUCUGAAUGGAGUCUUUUCCCUCCAGCAUGUCAACCGCGCCACACAGCUUGGUGUCGUCAGGUGAGGGUGCAGUUGCUGAAGGUACACUCAGUCCCACUGUCUAUGUGUCCAACAGCGCUGGUCCCAGUACUGACCCCUGAGGAACGCCACUCAUCACUGGUCACCAUUUGGACAUCGAGCUGUUAACUGUGUCCAUCCAGCCAGUGGUCCAUCCCCUGAGUGGUCCAUCUGUCAAAUCCGUGUCUUUCCAAUGCAGAGGGUAGGAUGUUGUGCGGGACAGCGUCAAAUGCUUUGCAUAAAUCCAGGGAAAUGACAUCUGUUGCUCUCUGCUUAUCUACCAAGGCUGUAAGACCACUGGAAAGGUCCACCAAAUUUGUCAGGUGCCAAGCCUCCAUGGGGCAAACAAGCGAGUCAGCUGGCCCUGACUGCCACAGCAACAAGGAUAAACAAGAGCAUCUCGCACUGAACAGGAUGUUGGCUCUGCUCCACCCCAAACCACCACACUUCCUAGAAAGAAUAUGGAACUUAACCGCUGAUAAGAGGAUACAUAGAUUUUGGAGAGACAACAUUAGGACACCCUUUCAAAUGCUGCCAUUUGAUGUGGCUUAAGAGUGUGUGUUUGAAUCCGUAACACAGGAGAAACGUUUUCCUCAGUACACGAGUUAACUGGAGCCACUGUACACCUGCUCCAGAGCAGUGGUUCUUUGCAGUACUAGGGUCCACCUGGACGCAUUUGACUUGAACCCAGGAUGGUAAGGAAACUCCCUGGCUGUACAACUAUCCUGUUCCUCACAGGUCCUCUUUGGAUGACUGUGUUCUCUGCGAUUCACAGGACCACCUUGGUUCUGUGUUUUUUGCCCCUGGU
rnacentral:lncRNA from 1 species